UGCUAAAGGCUGCCAUGUAACACAAGGAAACACAAAGUGAAAUCUAAUUGAGACUGAUUGAAAAACUUUGCUUUUGGAAAAGGACAUCCUUACUUUCUUCUUCUCCUUCUUGCCUGAGAUGCAAGCUUAAUGCUGGGAAGGAAGAGCACCUGGGGACAUUUGUAAGGUUCUACUUUACAGAGAGCCUUCAUAAUUUCAGUAUAUAUGAGUGAAAUACAAGUAUAAGGCCAAGGCUUGUUUUAAUGACUGAAAGAGUAUAUGGAACAUAGUAGAUGCUUAAUACUUUUGAGGUCCUAUGCAAAUAGCAUGAGGGUCGUAUUCCAGAGAUGCUCAUCUCAGGAGUAGUGAAAAGACUGAAGUUCUGAAUCUACAAAGGAGAAGGUUAGAUCCUAUUGAUUUUCCCUUCUCUCUUUUUUUUUUUUUUUUCUUUUAACAGCCAGUACCUGUCUUCUUCAGGAAUACAAGACCUUGCUUUUGGUAUCUGUAAAACUUUAGAUUAAGGAAUAAUAACACUCCUGAUUUUACAAGAAGGGGAAAAGACUAUGGUUUCAUCCCAGAAUUUUAAGAGAAGUCUGAUCAAAUGGAUUAUUUUAUAUGAUGGAUAAGGCAAGAUAAUCUGCUAAGAGA
rnacentral:lncRNA from 12 species